GACAGUCCCUCUUGCCUGGAGCAUUAACACAACGUGGCUGCAAAGUUAGUCCUUUCCCGCUACCAUCUCCUGAAUACUGGGACUAACUACACGUAUGCACGAACCUGCCCAUCUUUGCCUCUGUUAACAGCUGCCACUGUCUCUUCACGACAUGAUGGCUGACCUAGGUUGGAAGGAACAGAGCCAGUUGGCCAUGGACUGAAACUUUUGGAACUGAUUCUGAGGAGUUAAUGUUUCCAUGAAUAUCUCAGAAGGAGAUGUGGACAAACGAACAGUUAUCUCACUCCUGUAGCUAUCUUUCUUAUCCAGCCCAGGCCCUCCCACCGAGAAGUGGCACUAACCACCACAGGUCAAUAUAAUGGAGACAGUUCUUCAAUUGAUGUUCCCCCUUCCCAGCAAUCUUCUUUCCCUGCCCAGUACUGGAUCUGUGAAAAGCUGAAUCAUGAAUCAGUGAGUGUGCGGAUUGGAACCCAAGUUGCUCUCUGGAUAGAACGAAAGGAGUCGUGCCCCAAGAAGAUGGAGAGGGAAGUUAUGAAAUGCUGUGACCAAAUAACAAAUGCUGAUGUUUGGGGAGAUAACUGUUUCCCAUAGGAAAUAGAGUGAAUGCGAUGUCUUUCUUUUGUGAGGGAUUCAUAGACCGCUUCUCAACGCUUGUUACAUGUUACUCCUUUUUUCGAGAUUUUUAUUUACCUAACUGGGAAAGAAACCAGAACAAGGUUUUCAUUGAAUUCUGAUACAGGUAUUUAAAGACUUACGGACAAGAUAUAGAAGAAGAAGUGGUAAUUAACUGAUUAAAGAAGUACAGUUUAUAUCCAGUAGACAGACAGGCUCCAGACAUCCUUAGUGCUGUCUUAGCAUCAAAGGUUAAUCUACCUAAUACUUGUCAUCCUGAAAUGCAUGGUGGAACAUCCAACAGACAAGAGCUACUUCAGGGAAGGACUAUGAUUUUUGUCGUGGAAGACAUUUAACACAGGGCAGCUCCUGUGCACUUACAUGAUAGAUAUUGCUCUUCCGGGGACUCUGAAUGCUCAUCCCACUUUCAGCUCACUAGGCACAUCGAACUAGAAAUUUUAUCAUCUCGUGAAUUAGUCCAAUACCUGAAGGAGCAAGAGAACCAACACCCAGUUGACAAGAAUAUGACCUGUUGAUUGAAGACCAUUAAGAAAGUAACUUGAUUCAGUUGGACUGGACUUUUUUAUUCUAUUGAAAAAGGAAUUUAUUUCCCCUCAGUGAACGUAACAUGAUCAACAUUUUGAAAGUUGUGAACAUGCAUAGUUCUAUAAUUUACAAAAUAAUUAUAAAAAUCUGAGUAUGGAUGCAGCAUAAUUUCAGAACAGAAUAGCCAUCAUACUUUUUAUAUAUCUUAAAUUCGAGUUUUCAAGAGUAUAUUUCUAUGUUAUAUCCUUUGAUUAGUACAAUAUAAAAUCUACAUCUAAUAUGUACUUCAGGUUUUAUUAGAUCAUGCCAUAUUACUGUACAAUUUGGACUUUUCCAUUUUUAUAUAAAAUGUAACAUGCAUUGUACAUUAAUAUUUAUAUAUCUUGUUUAUUUAUAUAUCUUUAGAAUUAAUUUCUGCCAAUUAUUUUCUUUAUUUGAAUACUUGGGGUAUCAUAAAGGUGCUGUUGAGGUAUUCUCAAUAUGCUUGUACAACUUCCUGCCUGUAGUUAAUAAAUGUGGAUAUUUCAUUAAACAAUUGAAA
rnacentral:lncRNA from 1 species